UGGGGGGGCAGUUGAUUUGCGUGCCAGUGACAAUUGUAUUCUCAGCCAGUCCCACAGCAGCCAGCAGCCCUGGAGCUGGGAAGGCCCUGCAGAGCUGUAAGGGGCCUGGUUUAUACCCCAGCACCCAGCAGUCAUUCUAGGUGGGAUUCCGGGCUCCCUUAUGUAGCCUCAGGCAAGAUGUCUCUCCUCAGCUGAAGGCAAGCAGGCCUCAGGGAAGGACCAGCUGACUGCUGCUCGCCAUCAGCACUCCCCACAGCUGGGGAAAGAGGAUCUCAGUCCUGGAGGGGAUCUGGCAGCACGCCAAAGCAUCCAUUGCAGCCCUCGUCCGUGGCGUCUAAAUGAUGCAGGCGCAUGAGAUCGCACACAUUGAUCCGUUUCCUUCACGCAAGUCUGCUAAUGGCCGAUCUCCUCUUGAAGUGGUCAAAUUCUAAGACUAGACAUGAAAAGAAAAGUAUGAGGUAUCACAGUUACCCUCUCAAAUCCUAGUGAGAUGCUCCUGCCCAGAGAGGCCACGGGAAUGGAAACCAACUGAAGGAACAAAUACUAAUCUUUGCGUGCUCUGCUCUUGAGGAGCCAGGAAGAGCUGCGUGUUCGAGGGGGAGAUGGACACACGAUAAACAUGGAGCACGACAAAUAACGAUAAACACGGAGCAGUGGAGACCAGGUCCACCGAUCCCCAGACUGAGCCGGAUGCUAAGGUCACGUUAGGCAUGGUGAAUUGGCUCCCCCCCAGCGGCCUGUCAUCCCCCCGCACCCUGCGGAAGAGCUGCAGAACAUACCCAGUAGCUACCCACCCGAGGAGGAGGAGAGCCACGUGGAGCAGGCCUGGGCUCAACCUGCAUCCUGAACCAAGCCCAGCUGCAUUCCGGCUGACCUGCAGACAUGUGAACAAGAAAUCAGUGCUUACCGUUGGAUGCCCCUGAGUUUUGGAAGAGGUUUGUAAUGCAGCAUUGUUAGAGUAACAGCUGACUGCUACAAUGUAGCCAUCUCGCCAUCCUAAUGAAUGUGAGGUGACCCAUUUAAUUUUUAAUUUAAAUUUUUGACAAGAUAAUCCAGUCAUGUGGAUGAAAAAAUCAAAGAAAUGACAAAAAGAUCAAUAGUCGAAAAUAUUUCUCCUGUCCUCAUUCCCAUGCCCUCUGAAACAAAACUUCUCAGGGUUCACUGUCGUCAUGAAGACAUACUUUAGCAUCACUAAAUGUAUCUGCCUUUGUGAUUUGCAAGAGGGAGCAAAGAGCAUGCUAACGGACUUGGGAGGAUGCUGCAUUAACUGCAAACUUCGUACUACAAACAUAGAAAUAAGGAAAGCAGGCAUCGAGGUGCUAGACGUGUGGUCAGGAAGUGAAAAAAGUGAGCUGCCGUUGGAAAAGAAAUGAUUAAUAAAGAGUAUUGUUAGGAUGGAGUCAAAGUGGAAGGUAGACGGUGACGUUCUUGGAUUUCUUUGAACGAGUUCACGUUGUCCUAAGAAGGUGGGGUACAUCGCUGGACACGAUACACCUUCAGAAACGGUCGAUCGACACCGUGUGGACUCACCCCAAGCUUCUGCAGCAGUCGCUCACCUACGGAACGGGGACUUCAUACCAAUGGGGGCUCGUCAUCCGGUGGCUGUGAGGGUUGAAUGAGAUGAUAUGAGUGAAGACUUGGAAUACAGCUCGGCAUCGUGUUUUAUAAAUGCGAGGCAGCUGUUCUGGAAAACAAACGAAGAGCCAGCCUCCGGGACUCUCGCGUGACUGAUCCCCUGUGAGGCCUGGGGUUGCUGGGGGCUGUGGAGUGUUCGAGGUGCGUACCGAAACCAGGCCACUUUCAGGAAGCGUUUCUAUUUCAGUUUUCCUGGCAAAUUACCUUGAGAGAUCUGAGAAGAAAGGGAUGCGAGUUUCCAAGACACUUAUGAUGUGUUUUUAUUUCCUAGUUUUAAAUAAAUAUGCACUUCCAUACCUGGUGUUGUGUACAUGAUUUUGUGUUUUUCUGAAAGAGGGUCUCCAAAAUUGUCUACAGUCCUGCAGCACUUAGCUCUGUCCCCGAUGCCUCACUGUUAUUAUGAUGGUCAGGAGGUUUAGGGAGAGGCAAAGGAUGUCCUAGUUUUUGAAAACAUGGAUUACAGAAAUUAAUAGGCAGUCGAAAGGAUGUCAGCGCUUCAUAAAGCUCUUGCCUCCCUCCCUGCCUGUCGGCUUUCCUCCCUUCCUUCUUCCCUCUCUGCAUUCUUCCCUCCCUUUCUUUCCCAAGCAUGCUGCUCCAGACACUGUUCUAAGCGCUGACACUAUCAGAUCCCGCUCUCACGGAGCUUAUAUUGUAGUUGAGGCAGCACAGAAGGAAGCAAAGCACAAAUAAUAUAUUUCGCACACCCAUGAGUGCUGGGAAGCAAAAUAGAGCAGGCUGAUGGGAGAGGGCAAGUGGGGGGAGGGAUGCUUUAGGUCAGGCGACCUGCAAAGCCCUUGUAGAGUGGUGACGUUUCAGCUGAGACCUGAAUGGUGAGCAGGCACCAUCCUGGAGCGUGGAGGGGUGUUCCAGGCAGAGCCAAGAGCAAAUGUAAGAUCCCAAGGUGAGAGGAGGCUUGGCAUGUGUGUGUGUGGAGGGGUGGCAGCUGGAGCAGCAGGGAGAAGCAGGAGAAAGAGGAGGACGAGGAUGAGGAGGAAGGUGGUGCUUUAGGUAGCGGCCAUGUAACAGGGGUUUUGUUUGUCCCAGUCAGAAGUUUGGAUUUUACUGCAAAUAUUAUGGGACAUCAUUGCGG
ensembl:lncRNA